ACGCUGGCGGCGUGCCUAAGUACAUGCAAGUCGAACGGUCUUUCUAUGGAAGCUUGCUUCCACUGAGAAGAUAGUGGCGGACGGGUGAGUAACACGUGGGUAACCUGCCCAUAAGAGGGGGAUAACAUCCGGAAACGGGUGCUAAUACCGCAUAGUUUUCUUGAUCGCAUGAUUGAGAAAGGAAAGACGGCCUUUGUGCUGUCGGCUUAUGGAUGGACCCGCGGCGUAUUAGUUAGUUGGUGAGGUAAUGGCUCACCAAGACGAUGAUACGUAGCCGACCUGAGAGGGUGAUCGGCCACAUUGGGACUGAGACACGGCCCAAACUCCUACGGGAGGCAGCAGUAGGGAAUCUUCCGCAAUGGACGAAAGUCUGACGGAGCAACGCCGCGUGAGUGAAGAAAGGGUUUUCGGAUCGGUAAAACUCUGUUGUCAGAGAAGAACAAGUCGGAGAGUAACUGCUCCGGCCUUGACGGUAUCUGACCAGAAAGCCACGGCUAACUACGUGCCAGCCGCUGC
rnacentral:rRNA from 1 species